AACGUAGGAGGCGAGCGUUAUCCGGAUUCACUGGGCGUAAAGCGCACGUAGGCGGUCGGGUAAGUCGGAUGUUAAAGCCCUUGGCUCAACUAGGGGAGGUCAUUCGAUACUGCUCGGCUUGAGGAUGAGAGAGGAAAGUGGAAUUCCCGGUGUAGCGGUGGAAUGCGUAGAGAUCGGGAGGAACACCAGUGGCGAAAGCGGCUUUCUGGCUCAUUCCUGACGCUGAGUGUGCGAAAGCGUGGGUA
rnacentral:rRNA from 1 species